GAGAAUGUCACACACAAUUUCCUACGCAUCUUCCAUCCUAUCUGAAACAUCCGAUCCUAAAUAUGAUAGGUAGUUCACACAACAAAUAGUUUAUACAAUAAACAGUAAUAACAAAGCAUCAUAUAUUCAUAUAGUAGCAGCAAAAAUCACAAUACUUUCUCUCUUAUUUUUUCUCCUAAUAGCAGCAAAAUCAAAACCUGUCCUGAAUCAUGAGAGUAUCUUAUGAUGGCCGUCGCCUUCUCGUACUCAUGCCUAUACCAAUCGCAGCACACCAGCCCCAAGCAUUGAUCCAGUUUCUCUGAUAAAUUAAACUAUUAACUGUAAUAGGAGUGUGGCAAAGUCAGUAGAAUAGUAUCAUCAACCUGGG
rnacentral:lncRNA from 1 species